rnacentral:rRNA from 1 species
GGCGAACGCUGGCGGCGUGCCUAAUACAUGCAAGUAGAACGCACAGUUUAUACCGUAGCUUGCUACACCAUAAACUGUGAGUUGCGAACGGGUGAGUAACGCGUAGGUAACCUGCCUGGUAGCGGGGGAUAACUAUUGGAAACGAUAGCUAAUACCGCAUAAUAUUGAUUAUUGCAUGAUAAUUGAUUGAAAGAUGCUAUUGCAUCACUACCAGAUGGACCUGCGUUGUAUUAGCUAGUAGGUGAGGUAACGGCUCACCUAGGCGACGAUACAUAGCCGACCUGAGAGGGUGAUCGGCCACACUGGGACUGAGACACGGCCCAGACUCCUACGGGAGGCAGCAGUAGGGAAUCUUCGGCAAUGGACGAAAGUCUGACCGAGCAACGCCGCGUGAGUGAAGAAAGGUUUCGGAUCGUAAAGCUCUGUUGUAAGAGAAGAACGGGUGUGAGAGUGGAAAGUUCACACUGUGACGGUAUCUUACCAGAAAGAGACGGCUAACUACGUG